CGAAGUUUCCCUCAGGAUAGCUGGUGCUCGUGGAAACGGAGGAGUUUCAUCCGGUAAAGCGAAUGAUUAGAGGUCUUGGGGACGAAACGUCCUCAACCUAUUCUCAAACUUUAAAUGGGUGAGAUGCCGAGCUUGCUUGAAUGCUGAAGCUCCGGCGAUUAAUCUGAGUAUCUAGUGGGCCAUUUUUGGUAAGCAGAACUGGCGCUGUGGGAUGAACCAAACGUCGAGUUAAGGGGCCUAAACGAAUGCUCAUCUAGACCCCAUCGAAAGGCGUUGGUUGCUAUAGACAGCAGGACGGUGGCCAUGGAAGUUGGAAUCCGCUAAGGAGUGUGUAACAACUCACCUGCCGAAGCAACUAGCCCUUAAAAUGGUAUGGCGCUCAAGCAUUCUCCCGAUACUCGACCGCCGGGGCACUAAAGGCCAAGCAUCUCCCUUAGCCGGGAGAAGGCCCAGGUCUCCAAGCCCCGGCGAGUAGGAGGGUCGCAGGGGUGAGCGCUGAAGGGAUCCGGCGUGAGCCGGCCUGGAGCCGCCCCUGGUGCAGAUCUUGGUGGUAGUAGCAA
rnacentral:rRNA from 1 species